CCAACCACCAUCUGCUAAGUGUGCUACAUGCC
rnacentral:piRNA from 1 species